CAGUCGCCACGGGAAUACGUAGGGUGCGAGCGUUAAUCGGAAUUACUGGGCGUAAAGCGUGCGCAGGCGGUUAUAUAAGACAGAUGUGAAAUCCCCGGGCUCAACCUGGGACCUGCAUUUGUGACUGUAUAGCUAGAGUACGGUAGAGGGGGAUGGAAUUCCGCGUGUAGCUGUGAAAUGCGUAGAUAUGCGGAGGAACACCGAUGGCGAAGGCAAUCCCCUGGACCUGUACUGACGCUCAUGCACGAAAGCGUGGGGAGCAAACAGGAUUAGAUACCCCCGUAGUCCCUGUCUCUUAUAC
rnacentral:rRNA from 1 species